rnacentral:rRNA from 1 species
UUAAGGAAUUAGGCAAAUUUCCCCCGUACGUUCGCAAUAAGGGGGGCCUCUGGUGGUGAGCUUAAUCGCAAAGCUGCUGGAGGCCGCAGAGAAAUGGCUCUUCCAACUGUUUAACAAAAACACAGGUCUCUGCUAAGUCGAAAGACGAAGUAUAGGGGCUGACGCCUGCCCAGUGCUGGAAGGUUAAGGGGAGAGGUUAGGCGCAAGCCGAAGCUUUGAGCCGAAGCCCCAGUGAACGGCGGCCGUAACAAUAACGGUCCUAAGGUAGCGAAAUUCCUUGUCGGGUAAGAUCCGACCCGCACGAAUGGCGUAAUGAGAGGAGCACUGUCUCAACGAGGGACUCGGCGAACAUUGAAGGACGUGUGAAGAUACACGUGACCCGCAGCGGGACAAAAAGACCCCGUGAAGCUUUACUACAACUUGCCAUUGAGUUAGGGCUAAACCUGUGUAGUAUAGGUGGGAGGCUUUGAAGCUGGGACGCCAGUCUCGGUGGAGCCACCGUUGAAAUACCACCCUGGUUUAUUCUUGGCUCUAACCUGUCGCCGUUAUCCGGCAUGGGAACAGUGGCUGGUGGGUAGUUUGACUGGGGCGGUCGCCUCCGAAAGCGUAACAGAGGCGCCCAAAGGUUCCCUCAGGCUGAAUGGAAACCAGCCGUUGAGUGUAAAGGCACAAGGGAGCUUGACUGCAAGACCAACAAGUCGCGCAGGGACGAAAGUCGGGCUUAGUGAUCCCACGGUUCAGAGUGGAAUGGCCGUGGCUUACCGGAUAAAAGCUACUCUCGGGAUAACAGGGUAGUCUGGUCCAAGAGUUCAUAUCGACGACCAGGUUCGCCACCUCGAUGUCGGCUCAUCACAUCCUGGGGCUGGAUAAGGUCCCAAGGGUUGGGCUGUUCGCCCAUUAAAGUGGUACGUGAGCUGGGUUCAGACCGUCGUGAGACAGGUCGGUCUCUAUCCGCUGUGGGCGUAAGGGAUUUGAGAGAAGCUGCCCCUAGUACGAGAGGACCGGGGUGGACGGACCUCUAGUGUGCCAGUUGUUCUGCCAAGAGCAUUGCUGGGUAGCUACGUCCGGCAGAGAUAUCCGCUGAAAGCAUCUAAGUGGGAAACUCGUCUCAAGAUUAGAUCCCUCAUCCGUAUGGAGUAAGACCGCUAGAAGACGACUAGUUUGAUAGGCGGCAGGUGUAAGCGCAGUAAUGUGUUCAGCUUAGCCGUACUAAUGGUCGAGGGCUUACGUUG